UACGGAGGGGGGCGAGCGUUGUCCGAAGUUACUGGGCGUAAAGCGCGCGUAGGCGGGUUGGUAAGUCCGCUGUGAAAGCCCGGAGCUCAACUCCGGAGGGUCGGUGGAUACUGCCAGUCUUGAAGGUGCUAGGGGGAGAUGGAAUUACCGGUGUAGCGGUGAAAUUCGUAGAUAUUGGGUGGAACACCGGUGGCGAAAAGCGGCUCUCUGGUCCGGACCUGACGCUGAGGCGCGAAAGCGUGGGGAGCAAACAGG
rnacentral:rRNA from 1 species